rnacentral:rRNA from 1 species
GGCGGGACACGUGGUAUCCUGUCUGAAUAUGGGGGGACCAUCCUCCAAGGCUAAAUACUCCUGACUGACCGAUAGUGAACCAGUACCGUGAGGGAAAGGCGAAAAGAACCCCGGCGAGGGGAGUGAAAAAGAACCUGAAACCGUGUACGUACAAGCAGUGGGAGCACGCUUAGGCGUGUGACUGCGUACCUUUUGUAUAAUGGGUCAGCGACUUAUAUUCUGUAGCAAGGUUAACCGAAUAGGGGAGCCGAAGGGAAACCGAGUCUUAACUGGGCGUUAAGUUGCAGGGUAUAGACCCGAAACCCGGUGAUCUAGCCAUGGGCAGGUUGAAGGUUGGGUAACACUAACUGGAGGACCGAACCGACUAAUGUUGAAAAAUUAGCGGAUGACUUGUGGCUGGGGGUGAAAGGCCAAUCAAACCGGGAGAUAGCUGGUUCUCCCCGAAAGCUAUUUAGGUAGCGCCUCGUGAAUUCAUCUCCGGGGGUAGAGCACUGUUUCGGCAAGGGGGUCAUCCCGACUUACCAACCCGAUGCAAACUGCGAAUACCGGAGAAUGUUAUCACGGGAGACACACGGCGGGUGCUAACGUCCGUCGUGAAGAGGGAAACAACCCAGACCGCCAGCUAAGGUCCCAAAGUCAUGGUUAAGUGGGAAACGAUGUGGGAAGGCCCAGACAGCCAGGAUGUUGGCUUAGAAGCAGCCAUCAUUUAAAGAAAGCGUAAUAGCUCACUGGUCGAGUCGGCCUGCGCGGAAGAUGUAACGGGGCUAAACCAUGCACCGAAGCUGCGGCAGCGACGCUUAUGCGUUGUUGGGUAGGGGAGCGUUCUGUAAGCCUGCGAAGGUGUGCUGUGAGGCAUGCUGGAGGUAUCAGAAGUGCGAAUGCUGACAUAAGUAACGAUAAAGCGGGUGAAAAGCCCGCUCGCCGGAAGACCAAGGGUUCCUGUCCAACGUUAAUCGGGGCAGGGUGAGUCGACCCCUAAGGCGAGGCCGAAAGGCGUAGUCGAUGGGAAACAGGUUAAUAUUCCUGUACUUGGUGUUACUGCGAAGGGGGGACGGAGAAGGCUAUGUUGGCCGGGCGACGGUUGUCCCGGUUUAAGCGUGUAGGCUGGUUUUCCAGGCAAAUCCGGAAAAUCAAGGCUGAGGCGUGAUGACGAGGCACUACGGUGCUGAAGCAACAAAUGCCCUGCUUCCAGGAAAAGCCUCUAAGCAUCAGGUAACAUCAAAUCGUACCCCAAACCGACACAGGUGGUCAGGUAGAGAAUACCAAGGCGCUUGAGAGAACUCGGGUGAAGGAACUAGGCAAAAUGGUGCCGUAACUUCGGGAGAAGGCACGCUGAUACGUAGGUGAAGUCCCUCGCGGAUGGAGCUGAAAUCAGUCGAAGAUACCAGCUGGCUGCAACUGUUUAUUAAAAACACAGCACUGUGCAAACACGAAAGUGGACGUAUACGGUGUGACGCCUGCCCGGUGCCGGAAGGUUAAUUGAUGGGGUCAGCGCAAGCGAAGCUCUUGAUCGAAGCCCCGGUAAACGGCGGCCGUAACUAUAACGGUCCUAAGGUAGCGAAAUUCCUUGUCGGGUAAGUUCCGACCUGCACGAAUGGCGUAAUGAUGGCCAGGCUGUCUCCACCCGAGACUCAGUGAAAUUGAACUCGCUGUGAAGAUGCAGUGUACCCGCGGCAAGACGGAAAGACCCCGUGAACCUUUACUAUAGCUUGACACUGAACAUUGAGCCUUGAUGUGUAGGAUAGGUGGGAGGCUUUGAAGUGUGGACGCCAGUCUGCAUGGAGCCGACCUUGAAAUACCACCCUUUAAUGUUUGAUGUUCUAACGUGGACCCGUAAUCCGGGUUGCGGACAGUGUCUGGUGGGUAGUUUGACUGGGGCGGUCUCCUCCUAAAGAGUAACGGAGGAGCACGAAGGUUGGCUAAUCCUGGUCGGACAUCAGGAGGUUAGUGCAAUGGCAUAAGCCAGCUUGACUGCGAGCGUGACGGCGCGAGCAGGUGCGAAAGCAGGUCAUAGUGAUCCGGUGGUUCUGAAUGGAAGGGCCAUCGCUCAACGGAUAAAAGGUACUCCGGGGAUAACAGGCUGAUACCGCCCAAGAGUUCAUAUCGACGGCGGUGUUUGGCACCUCGAUGUCGGCUCAUCACAUCCUGGGGCUGAAGUAGGUCCCAAGGGUAUGGCUGUUCGCCAUUUAAAGUGGUACGCGAGCUGGGUUUAGAACGUCGUGAGACAGUUCGGUCCCUAUCUGCCGUGGGCGCUGGAGAACUGAGGGGGGCUGCUCCUAGUACGAGAGGACCGGAGUGGACGCAUCACUGGUGUUCGGGUUGUCAUGCCAAUGGCACUGCCCGGUAGCUAAAUGCGGAAGAGAUAAGUGCUGAAAGCAUCUAAGCACGAAACUUGCCCCGAGAUGAGUUCUCCCUGACUCCUUGAGAGUCCUGAAGGAACGUUGAAGACGACGACGUUGAUAGGCCGGGUGUGUAA